GGGGCGUUAGCUCAGCCGGUUAGAGCAGGGGACUCAUAAUCCCUUGGUCGUGGGUUCAAGUCCCACACGCCCUACCU
rnacentral:tRNA from 1 species